rnacentral:lncRNA from 1 species
AAAGGAGUAGGUUCGGUAAGUGCCAUAUUUUGCCCCAAUUAUAAAGUUCAUGGUUACAAGACAAUAAUUGUUUUAAGUUGCCUUAAAGACAUGUGAGAAAGCUAAACAGAUCUGUUUUUGUCAAAGUUUAAUUCUAACACGUUGAUCUUUACGUCCCAAAAAGGUCAAGAUAAGGGAUUUUAGUGAAAUUUGACAAAAUCAGCUGGAU